rnacentral:rRNA from 1 species
AUUGAACGCUGGCGGCAUGGCUAAAGCAUGCAAGUCGAACGGACCCGCAAGGGUCAGUGGCGAAAGGGUCAGUAAUACGAUCGAACGUGCCCUGGGGUGUGGGAUAGCCGCGGGAAACUGCGGGUAAUACCACAUGUGCUCUACGGGAGGAAGGCCGCAAGGCGCCCCGGGAGCGGCGAUCGUCCUAUCAGGUAGUUGGCGGGGUAACGGCCCACCAAGCCGAAGACGGGUAGCGGGUGGNGAGAGCACGGCCCGCGACAUCGGGACUGAGACACUGCCCGGACUCCUACGGGAGGCUGCAGCGACGAAUCUUCCGCAAUGGGCGAAAGCCUGACGGAGCAAUGCCGCGUGCGGGAUGAAGCGGCUACGCCGUGUAAACCGCUGUCAGGGGGCAGAAACACUGAUCGCCCCCAGAGGAAGAGACGGCUAACUCUGUGCCAGCAGCCGCAGUAAC